UACGUAGGGCGCAAGCGUUAUCCGGAAUUAUUGGGCGUAAAGAGCUCGUAGGCGGUUUGUCGCGUCUGCCGUGAAAGUCCGGGGCUCAACUCCGGAUCUGCGGUGGGUACGGGCAGACUAGAGUAUGGCAGGGGAGACUGGAAUUCCUGGUGUAGCGGUGAAAUGCGCAGAUAUCAGGAGGAACACCGGUGGCGAAGGCGGGUCUCUGGGCCAAAACUGACGCUGAGGAGCGAAAGCGUGGGGAGCGAACAGG
rnacentral:rRNA from 1 species